GCGAUGAUAGAUAUCAUGAGUUCAAAAAAUAAAAAUAGUUCUUUUAUACAUGAAAAUAAUGCUGCAUAUAUUUGACUCUUAUCCUACAUCCACUGUGAUAUAGAUAUUAGGUUCAAAGCAUAGAAAUGGUUCUUCUGUAUAUAACGAUAACUUUGCAUGUAUUUGACUAUCAUCGUACAAUGGUAGAAAUCUCGUAUAUUGAAAUAAUCUAUUCGUUUCAUUGAAGUAAAAUCCAUGGGA
rnacentral:lncRNA from 1 species